rnacentral:rRNA from 1 species
UACAUGUGGGGCAAGCGUUGUUCGGAAUUACUGGGCAUAAAGGGUGCGUAGGCGGCCAUGUAAGUGAGGUGUGAAAUCCCUCGGCUCAACCGAGGAACUGCGCUUCAUACUGCAUGGCUUGAGGGAGACAGGGGUAAGCGGAACUGAUGGUGGAGCGGUGAAAUGCGUUGAUAUCAUCAGGAACACCGGUGGCGAAAGCGGCUUACUGGGUCUCUUCUGACGCUGAGGUACGAAAGCUAGGGUAGCGAACGGG